rnacentral:rRNA from 1 species
CCUACGGGAGGCAGCAGUGGGGAAUAUUGCACAAUGGGGGAAACCCUGAUGCAGCAACGCCGCGUGAGUGAUGACGUAUUUCGGUAUGUAAAGCUCUAUCUGUGGGGAAGAAGACAGACGGUACCUGACCAAGAAGCACCUGCUAACUACGUGCCAGCAGCCGCGGUAAUACGGAGGGGGCGAGCGUUAUCCGGAUUUACUGGGUGUAAAGGGAGCGUAGACGGCUGUGCAAGUCUGAAGUGAAAGCCCGUGGCUCAACCGCGGAACUGCUUUGGAAACUGUAUAGCUUGAGUACUGGAGAGGCAGGCGGAAUUCCUAGUGUAGCGGUGAAAUGCGUAGAUAUUAGGAGGAACUCCAGUUGCGAAGGCAGCCUACUGGACAGAAACUGACGUUGAGGCUCGAAAGCGUGGGGAGCAAACAGGAUUAGAUACCCGAGUAGUC